UACGUAGGGAGCGAGCGUUGUCCGGAUUCAUUGGGCGUAAAGAGCUCGUAGGCGGCUUGUUAAGUCAGGGGUGAAAGUUUUCGGCCCAACCGGAAAAUGGCCUUUGAUACUGGCGAGCUCGAGUGCGUGAGGGGUAACCGGAACGAGCAGUGUAGCGGUGAAAUGCGUAGAUAUUGCUCGGAAGGCCAACGGCGAAGGCAGGUUACUGGUGCGCAACUGACACUGAGGCACGAAAGCGUGGGGAGCAAACAGG
rnacentral:rRNA from 1 species